UGGGGAAUAUUGCACAAUGGGCGCAAGCCUGAUGCAGCCAUGCCGCGUGUAUGAAGAAGGCCUUCGGGUUGUAAAGUACUUUCAGCGGGGAGGAAGGGAGUAAAGUUAAUACCUUUGCUCAUUGACGUUACCCGGAGAAGAAGCACCGGCUAACUCCGUGCCAGCAGCCGCGGUAAUACGGAGGGUGCAAGCGUUAAUCGGAAUUACUGGGCGUAAAGCGCACGCAGGCGGUUUGUUAAGUCAGAUGUGAAAUCCCCGGGCUCAACCUGGGAACUGCAUCUGAUACUGGCAAGCUUGAGUAUCGUAGAGGGGGGUAGAAUUCCAGGUGUAGCGGUGAAAUGCGUAGAGAUCUGGAGGAAUACCGGUGGCGAAGGCGACCCCCUGGACGAAGACUGACGCUCAGGUGCGAAAGCGUGGGGAGCAAACAGG
rnacentral:rRNA from 1 species